UUACUUCAGUUCGCUUCAAUGAAGUUAAGAGAGUUAAAUCAAACUGUACUGUGCUAAUGUUUUUUUCAUUUUCUCAACCAGAGAGGUGGUUGAGUACGUUUAAGCUCUACCAUGAAUUAAUGAUGGUCCCCGGCAUGUUUCUGUUGUUUUUGUUCGUGUUACUGUUAUUGAUUGAUUCAUAUCACCUGAACAACUCCUCUCUGCACUCAUUCUUUGUGAAAUAAAGGACGGUAGGAAAAGAAAACACCCUGACAAAACCACGUAAGCCGCCCGUCGUUUACCCAUCACCACACAGCCCCGGCUAGAUCACCCGUGACGUUCAUCUCCACCCUGCCUGCACACGUCUUCUUUAUCUGUCUUGUGCACUUUCAGGUGCUUUGGAUGGAUGACCUCAGAGCAUACCUCCAGCUCUCCAGACUCCCUGCUCUCACUACAGAUCACAGUGUCAUCUGCAAAUAUUAUAGUCCAUGGAGACUCCUGCCUGACCUCGCCUGUCAACCUGUCCAACAC